UCCUAGCCCCGAUAGCAGCGGCAUCCUUUUCUUUUUUUCUUUAAAAAAGAAAAGAUACAGCGGAGAGCGGGAAUAAGC
rnacentral:sRNA from 1 species